UCGCGAGCGAACGCGUCGUCACCUCCAUCCUCGGCCUUGCCGCCCCAUCCACCGCGCCGAGGCCCUCUCCUCGUCCAGGGAGCCCCUCGCGCUCUCACCUACGCAGGAGGCGCCCGUCCUCCUCCCUCCACCGCCCUCCCUCAAGCCAGCGACCCCCACCCUCCUCCUCCCUCCACCGCCCUCCCUCACGCCGGCGACCCCCCACCCUCCUCCUCCCUCACGCCCUCCUCCAUGGAUUUGUUUGAUGCUCUUCCAUUUUCUCGUUGCAGCAAACUGAAUUUGGGGAAUUUUUUUCUAGGGAUUUUUCAGUAGAGAUGUGGUUUGAUUCAGUUGGUAGUAGAGGAGCGGAUGCACAAGAAGAAGAAAAAUGAGGGAGAAACCCAAAUCAAGUUGGGGAGAAAGAGAAGGAGCCCUCUGCGAACGGAGGCAAGUCUCGAUUCCAUCGUCCUGCUACCAGGGGUGCCAACAAUGCCAUGUCGGGUCGAGGAGACUUCAAGGAGUGCCGAUCUACUUCCCAGAUACGAGGUGGUCGUUUUUGGCAAGCCCUGAGCUAUUUUUGUUGCUGGCUUUGACAUUCCCAACAUUGCUGAGUGAUCAACGUGUCCAAGGUUGAGCAACAUCCUUCCUACAAUGAUCUUUGUGAUGGCUGUGAUUUUCAGGUAUACAUGCAUGAUUUGAUCGAAAAUGCGGUGAAUUUUUAGACUGCAAGUUGUCUGAUUGUUUAUUGUUCAAGUAGUAAUUUAUCUCAUAGGUUAUCUGAUCGUUUGCUGUUGGAGUAGUAACUAUUUCAAAUGGGGUGAGUAUUAAGUUUACACUGAAUAGUUACCUGAUUGUUUUUGGAUGAUUGAGUUAUCUAGCAUUCCUUUCAUUUUCAGUUAAGUAAAUUUUCUAUUAUCUAAUAGCAUUUUUAAGUAAUGGUUAAUCCGUUUAUUUAUUAUGCAUUAGCAAUUUUGUAGUUGUAUCUUGCCACUCUUUUAACAAUGUGUGUAACAAUAUAGUUUUGUAACAUUCCAGUGCCUCCUUAUUGUA